UUUAUUUUAGGAAAAUAAAUAUAUUAUUAUAAUUAUUAUAGUAAUAUAUUUAUUUUAUCCUGCUUAUUGAAUAAAUUUUUAACAGUAAGUAUUGCAUUUCUGAAUAAAUAUUUUAUAACAGUGUUUACGUACAGUUCUUUUCAGAUUAACCAUAAAUACCAAUCUCGAUACCAUUUAAAUGUGUUCAAGUUUUAAUUUUUUGAAUUUUGAUAACACAAAUAUGAUAAUUAAUUCUAAGAUAAUUACACAAAAAAUUAUUUUCAUAUUAUUAUCAGUGGUGGAGUAAAACAUUUGUAUUUGGUUAAUUAUUAUUGUAAUUUUUCUUCUUUUAAUCUCAUUUUAGGCUUGUGGGUUGUGCAGGGUUGUGCAACUAUUUUAUAUUGCUUUAACAGAACCAAAAUUUAUAACUAAGUUUAUAUUUUUUAAUAUUAAUAAGAAGUAAUAUGUCGAAUAUUUUACAAACGAAUAUCAAGUCGGUUAGAACCUAAUGCUCAUGCAAAUAAAGGUGCCAUGGCAACCCUUUGAAUCUGAUAGUUAUUCACUCUGAGCAAUAAAGUAUAAUAUUUUAAAUCAAAUUAACUGCGGAAAUGAAUUUCAAUAAACUGGUUGCUUUGCUUAUAUUUUGACAAACAACGUAAGUAUAUUAUUAAUUUGAAACCGAAAAAUGUUAAUUUUUCAAAUGUCUUUACCAAGCAUCAGCUAUGCAUUAAGUGUUUAAAAAAAUCAACUUGUAAAGUAAGUAAAAUAAAAUGUAUUUGAAAAAUUUCAUUCAUAGAAAGCAUAGAGAGUCUUCAACAAAAACUCAAGUAAAGAUCAUAUUGCAAAUAUUGAAAAGGGCUCUCCAUUGGUAAAUAAAUGUCAAACAAUUUGUAUAGAGAAUGCAAGCAAUUGUUAAGCAGUUCUUUUUAUAUAUUUAUAGUAUUUACUAUACCUGUAAUCUUCUUGUAUAUUCACAUUUUUAGUAUUAAUUUGUAUAUUUAUUUAGUUAUGUUUUAGUUAACAUAAUCUAUUUAACUUAAUAAUUUAAUGUUAAACUAAUGAACUGAAAAAAAAAAUACAAUUGACAUUGUUUUGCAAACUAAAGUUUAACGUUUACAUUUUGUUGUUAAAAACCCUGUUAUACCUAAUUUUUAUUUUCAGGUUUUAUUUUAAGCUACUUUUUAUUUUAGUCUAAAUAACCAUAGCUAAUAAAGGCCAGCAAAUGCUCUUACUGUUUUUCAAAAAAUUGUUUUUAGCUUAUUUUCUAGCACAAUUAUGACUAUUAAUUAUUACUAUUUAAUAAGACUUUUAACUUUAAGAUUUUAAUUAUAAUACAAACAUUCAACUGUAUGAUUUUAAUUAUGACAAUUAUAUACAAACAUUCAACUAUAUGAGAUUAAUGAGCUAGCAAGUAAAAAAACUUACAUACAACAAAUGUAGUUUGAUGAGAGGAUAAGAAUAUUAACUCUUUAAAGUUUAGGAAAUAUAAGAAUAUUACCUUUUCUAAAUAAGUUUUAUCCUGUUUUUUUAUUAAUAAAAAUUAAUUUUUCUUAUCAUUAUUAUUUUUCAUUGUAUUUAAUUUUCAUUAUUGUCUUGUUAUUGUUAAAACUACUAAAAUUUAUGUUUAUUUCAGAAUAAUAGAAAUGAAUAAACAAGAGAAAAAUCAAUACUUGAGGGAAUGGCGCCAAAGUAAUCAAGCCUUAAACAAUGUACUUGUAAAUGAAGAAAUUGACUCACAUCACAUGUCGACUCUAUUAAUAAUAUUAAUAGAGUCAAGAGUUGAAUUGAUUUCAAAAAUAUUGAAAUUAAGAACUAUAGUGACUUUUAUUUUGUCUCUGAUCAUAAAUAUACUUCUGGAACUGAGAGUUCUAUUCUAGACUCUGAGGUUCCUGUGUUUGAUGAUAAUGAAGAUCUUCAUGACGUACUUGUUACAUAACGUAUGAGUACUUGUUACAGAGAUUGCCAAAUGGAUUUUAAAACACAGAAUAACUAGAAAUGCAAGUGGCGAGUUGUUAACCAUUUACACCAGUAUAGUUAUAAUGUUGAUUUACCAAAAUGUACAGGAAAAUUUUAAAUACUCCUAGGAAUAUUCCAAGCAAGUUAAAAUGUGGGGGUAAAUAUGUUUACCUUGGUAUUUCAAAUGACAAAUCAAGAACUUUAGCAAUCAACCAGCAUUACAGAUUUGAGUCAAAUACAUUUCUUUAGUUGUCAAUGUAGAUAGCAUUCCCUUGCUAUAAAUCAAGAAUUAACUUAGUGACCUGAUAACCAUUUACAUUCUGUAGAGUUUUUUACAGUCUUGUAUUUUUGUUAAACUAUUUUGUCUUAUAUUUGGUUGAGCAAUUAUUAUUUCGUUGCAUUGAUAGAAUAACUGUGAAAAACAACCAAAUAAAUCUAAUCCUGUGUUAUUCCAACAUGAAAUUUUCUCUAAACUUUUAUUUAUGUUUUAGCUUUGUCACCUCAUAAAAGCAGGUGGGAAAAUGUUAAAGAAAAUACAAAAAAUGUUAAGGUCAGAUAUCCAAACUCCUGUGGUAAGAAAUGUUAAACACAACAAUUUAACAGACCAAAUCAUUAUUCCUAUCAUGGUCUAAAUAUGAUGGGCCAAACAUAAUAUUAGAAAUGUUGCAUUAAUGGGAACUAAUAGCACAUUUGGAAUGGUGGAAACAUUUUUUUUGUUUUGGUGCGAGAAGUUAAGUUUAAUUUAUUUUUGAGCUUUUUUGUAAAUUUAACCAUUAACUCUCACAUAGUGUGAGAGUAAAUGGUUAACAAAUAAUUUUCAAUGUAUAAAUUAAGCAACUUUAUCAACUUUUAAAAAGCAUUUUACAAAAACUGCCUUAUUUAUUUAGGUUCUCCCCUAUGUCGAAACUUUGAAUUUAUAAGUUUAUAAAAAAAUAAAGAACCUUUCCAAAUUAUACUUUUUGAAUUAUUACUCCAAUGUGUAUUUACAAUUAUUAAGAUAAGUUCGCUGGAUCACUUAAUGUAAUAUAACAAAGUAGUUAUUUUCCAUUUAUUAUUUGUUGUUGCGUUUUUAUAGAAUUAUGAAGCAUCAUGUUAAGCCCAAGUUCAAUAUGAAAAGCAAAAUUCGUGUGAUAUAAAGAAGUUAUCAUUCGAAAAUAAAAAGUUGGGUAAAGCAAUAAUUUUGAAGUCAUCCAGCUAACGCACGAGAGUUCGACGGAAGCAAACAAAAGAUCAAAUAGGAAGCAUUUUAAAGUUCUCUCCAUUAAACAAUUAUUUAUUUUUGAGUUUUUUUUGUAAAUUUAUAAUACAAAAGAAUAUAUAAUACAUCUUUAAAAAAAUCUUU